rnacentral:rRNA from 1 species
GACGAACGCUGGCGGCGUGCUUAACACAUGCAAGUCGAACGCUGAAACCAGAUGCUUGCAUUUGGUGGAUGAGUGGCGAACGGGUGAGUAACACGUGGGUGAUCUGCCCUACACUUUGGGAUAAGCCUGGGAAACUGGGUCUAAUACCGAAUAUUCACAUCAUCGUAGGGGUGGUGUGGAAAGCCUUGUGCGGUGUGGGAUGAGCCUGCGGCCUAUCAGCUUGUUGGUGGGGUAAUGGCCUACCAAGGCGUCGACGGGUAGCCGGCCUGAGAGGGUGUACGGCCACAUUGGGACUGAGACACGGCCCAGACUCCUACGGGAGGCAGCAGUGGGGAAUAUUGCACAAUGGGCGCAAGCCUGAUGCAGCGACGCCGCGUGGGGGAUGACGGCCUUCGGGUUGUAAACUCCUUUCGCUAGGGACGAAGCCUAUGGUGACGGUACCUGAGUAAUAGCACCGGCUAACUCCGUGCCAGCCGCCGCAGUAAUAC